CGGGUAGAGUAAUGCGUGACCAACCUGCCCCAUGCUCCAGAAUAGCUCUUGGAAACGGGUGGUAAUGCUGGAUGCUCCAACUUGACGCAUGUCUUGUUGGGAAAGUGUUUAGUGGCAUGGGAUGGGGUCGCGUCCUAUCAGCUUGUAGGCGGGGUAAUGGCCCACCUAGGCUUCGACGGGUAGCCGGCCUGAGAGGGCGGACGGCCACAUUGGGACUGAGAUACGGCCCAGACUCCUACGGGAGGCAGCAGAA
rnacentral:rRNA from 1 species